rnacentral:tRNA from 1 species
GCGGGGUUAGCUCAGUUGGUUAGAGCACGGUGCUAAUAACGCCGAGGUCACAGGUUCAAUCCCUGCUCACUGCA